rnacentral:rRNA from 1 species
AUUGAACGCUGGCGGCAGGCCUAACACAUGCAAGUCGAACGGUAACAGGAAGCAGCUUGCUGCUUUGCUGACGAGUGGCGGACGGGUGAGUAAUGUCUGGGAAACUGCCUGAUGGAGGGGGAUAACUACUGGAAACGGUAGCUAAUACCGCAUAAUGUCGCAAGACCAAAGAGGGGGACCUUCGGGCCUCUUGCCAUCGGAUGUGCCCAGAUGGGAUUAGCUAGUAGGUGGGGUAAAGGCUCACCUAGGCGACGAUCCCUAGCUGGUCUGAGAGGAUGACCAGCCACACUGGAACUGAGACACGGUCCAGACUCCUACGGGAGGCAGCAGUGGGGAAUAUUGCACAAUGGGCGCAAGCCUGAUGCAGCCAUGCCGCGUGUAUGAAGAAGGCCUUCGGGUUGUGAAGUACUUUCAGCGGGGAGGAAGGGAGUAAAGUUAAUACCUUUGCUCAUUGACGUUACCCGCAGAAGAAGCACCGGCUAACUCCGUG